rnacentral:rRNA from 1 species
GAUGAACGCUGGCGGCGUGCCUAAUACAUGCAAGUCGAGCGAACGGACGAGAAGCUUGCUUCUCUGAUGUUAGCGGCGGACGGGUGAGUAACACGUGGAUAACCUACCUAUAAGACUGGGAUAACUUCGGGAAACCGGAGCUAAUACCGGAUAAUAUUUUGAACCGCAUGGUUCAAAAGUGAAAGACGGUCUUGCUGUCACUUAUAGAUGGAUCCGCUCUGCAUUAGCUAGUUGGUAAGGUAACGGCUUACCAAGGCAACGAUGCAUAGCCGACCUGAGAGGGUGAUCGGCCACACUGGAACUGAGACACGGUCCAGACUCCUACGGGAGGCAACAGUAGGGAAUCUUCCGCAAUGGGCGAAAGCCUGACGGAGCAACGCCGCGUGAGUGAUGAAGGUCUUCGGAUCGUAAAACUCUGUUAUUAGGGAAGAACAUAUGUGUAAGUAACUGUGCACAUCUUGACGGUACCUAAUCAGAAAGCCACGGCUAACUACGUG